rnacentral:tRNA from 2 species
GCCGCCUUAGCUCAGUAGGGAGAGCGCUAGAUUGUGGCUCUAGAGGUCACUGGUUCGAAUCCAGUAGGCGGUACCA